AAUGGCGGACGGGUGAGUAACGCGUAAGAAUCUAACUUCAGGACGGGGACAACAGUUGGAAACGACUGCUAAUACCCGAUAUGCCGCGAGGUGAAACCUAAUUGGCCUGAAGAAGAGCUUGCGUCUGAUUAGCUAGUUGGUGGGGUAAGAGCCUACCAAGGCGACGAUCAGUAGCUGGUCUGAGAGGAUGAGCAGCCACACUGGGACUGAGACACGGCCCAGACUCCUACGGGAGGCAGCAGUGGGGAAUUUUCCGCAAUGGGCGAAAGCCUGACGGAGCAACGCCGCGUGAGGGAGGAAGGUCUUUGGAUUGUAAACCUCUUUUCUCAAGGAAGAAGUUCUGACGGUACUUGAGGAAUCAGCCUCGGCUAACUCCGUGCCAGCAGCCGCGGUAAUACGGGGGAGGCAAGCGUUAUCCGGAAUUAUUGGGCGUAAAGCGUCCGCAGGUGGUCAGCCAAGUCUGCCGUCAAAUCAGGUUGCUUAACGACCUAAAGGCGGUGGAAACUGACAGACUAGAGAGCAGUAGGGGUAGCAGGAAUUCCCAGUGUAGCGGUGAAAUGCGUAGAGAUUGGGAAGAACAUCGGUGGCGAAAGCGUGCUACUGGGCUGUAUCUGACACUCAGGGACGAAAGCUAGGGGAGCGAAAGGGAUUAGAUACCCCUGUAGUCCUAGCCGUAAACGAUGGAUACUAGGCGUGGCUU
rnacentral:rRNA from 1 species